rnacentral:rRNA from 1 species
GUGCCAGCCGCCGCGGUAAUACGUAGGGGGCGAGCGUUGUCCGGAUUCAUUGGGCGUAAAGCGCGCGCAGGCGGCUUCGUAAGUCGGCCGUGAAAUCUCCAGGCUCAACUUGGAGGGGUCGGGCGAGACUGCGGAGCUCGAGGCAGGUAGAGGGCGGUGGAAUUCCGGGUGUAGUGGUGGAAUGCGUAGAGAUCCGGAGGAACACCAGUGGCGAAGGCGGCCGCCUGGGCCUGACCUGACGCUGAGGCGCGAAAGCGUGGGGAGCGAUCCGGAUUAGAAACCCUAGUAGUCC